rnacentral:lncRNA from 1 species
GAAAGGGGCGGCACUUCCGGUUGGGCCCUCGGGUCUCCCCGGAGCGGCGGCGCCUCCUCCGCCUCCUCAGCGUCCUCCCGGCGGAGACCCCAGCGCCGGGGUUGGCACCCUAGUUGAUAGGCAGAUCAGAAACAACAAACAGUGCUGCUCGGUGGGUUUUCUGAGAGCCUGGUGAGCUGUUCCCGGGGGUGAAGGCUGAAACACAAGAUUUUUAAUCAUGCCAUUCAAAGAUCCGGGGAACAGCUGGUGCAGAAUUCCAGGGGUAGCAGUGAUGUGUAGAAGAGCAGCCGUGAAUUUGGAGCCCAAUUGAAGGACAGAAGUCUUGCCCCCAAAGAGCCUUGGGAUAAAUUGCCUGGCUUUUGACGGUUCUACCAGGCUUGUGAGAGUCUUCCAGCGUCCACUUGUUCCUUAUCCCCUCAUAAACACUUUGACACCUGUUUAAUGAGCAUCUACUUAAUACAGACAAUAAAAUGGGGAAAGAUUCCUGUCCGCAUGGAGUGGCUGUGCUAGUUGAGAAGGCUGACAUUAGAAGUGAGGCUACUUGGGGCGAGGGGACAUGAUUCAGUCAGUAAACUGUUUGGUCCUGAAUUCAGAUUCCCAGUAUUUACAUUUAAAAAAAAAAAAAAAAAAAAAGAGUUGGGCAUAGUGGCACACACCUGUAAUCUCAGCACUGGGGAGAUGGCAAUAGGAGGAUUCCUGGAGCUCACUGGCUAGCUUCAGAUUUAACUGAAAGCUAAAGCUUCCUCAAAGAAGGAAGGAAAGAAAGAGGAAGGCAGUUGAGGAGGCCACACUACAUUGGCCCCGGCCUCCACACCCUCACACGCAAACAUAAACCACACACAAAAUCAAAAUACAUAUGAGGACAGAGUUACAGGGGCCGGGCUAUUACUAAGACCACGUGUGGGCUAUGUCACGCCAUCUUGCUCCCCAGGUAAGCCACAGAACAGAAAGUUUGGUCCUAGACUGCUGUGGCCCACCAUGGAACUACUCUGACAGCUUCCUUACCUAGCAGGUGGAAUGAUUAAGAGUAUGAGCUGUGGAUUUUCCUAGACUGGUCUUUCCUCACCCUGUUUGCCUAGCCUUGUUCCU